CUUGGUCAUUUAGAGGAAGUAAAAGUCGUAACAAGGUUUCCGUAGGUGAACCUGCGGAAGGAUCAUUAGUGAACGCCCUCACGGGCUUAUAACUAUUCCAAACCUCUGUGAACCGUGCCCUUCGGGGCUAUUUUACAAACAUGGUGUAAUGAACGUCAUAUAUCAUAACAAAACAAAACUUUCAACAACGGAUCUCUUGGCUCUCGCAUCGAUGAGGAACGCAGCGAAAUGCGAUAAGUAAUGUGAAUUGCAGAAUUCAGUGAAUCAUCGAAUCUUUGAACGCACCUUGCGCCCUCUGGUAUUCCGGAGGGCAUGCCUGUUUGAGUGUCAUGUAGACUCAAUCCCUCGGGUUUCCGAGGAGAUUGGACUUGGGUGUUGCCGCUCUGCCGGCUCGCCUUAAAAGACUUAGCGGGAUAGCACCGUAGUCGGCGUAAUAAGUUUCGUCGGUGAAGGUUGUGAUGACUGCUUACAAUCGCCCUUGGGCAAUUUUUGACUCUGACCUCAAAUCAGGUAGGACUACCCGCUGAACUUAAGCAUAUCAAUAAGCGGAGGA
rnacentral:rRNA from 1 species